AUGGCUCUCCUUGUGCCAUUACUGGUGCUGCUUCUCUUCUCUAGCUCCUGUGGUACAUCAUCAUCUCUUGACAUUUCCCAUGGAACAACCGCAGCCAGCGUGGGCGAGGAGCUCAACUACUACGUCGUCGUGGAAACUACCUCGCUGGAGCCGAGCCCCGUCUGCCAAGGUCACAGGGUGAGCCCAUCGGCCAGCGGCAGCGGCAACCUUACCGGCGGCGCCUGGGUGCCGCUGAGCCAUCCUAAUGGUCCGUGCUCCGAGGCAGGGAACAGUGGCGCGCCGUGGUCAUCCGCGGCCGAGACGCUCCAGUGGGACCAGCACCGCGCCGGAUACAUCCAGAGGAAGCUCUCCGGCGAUGAGCCCGCCGGCGACGACGACGAACCGCCCCUUCAGCAACCCCAGGCAUCCGGGGUCACUAGCGAGCCCGCCGCAAAGUUUGCUCUGCCAGCUGGAAAUCAGGGGAAGUCCGAGGUCACUCCGACGGCCACGGUCGGCGGGGGCAGUCUGCCCGGAGUGACCCAACACAUGGUGAUCGACACGGCCAGCGACGUGCCGUGGGUGCAGUGCGCGCCCUGCCCAAAGCCGCAGUGCCACCCUCAGACGGACGCCACGUACGACCCAAGCAAGUCCACCACCUAUGCUCCCUUCCCUUGCAGCUCGCCCGUCUGCCGCCAGCUCGGCCCGUACGCCAACGGCUGCACCGGCGCCGGCAACACCGGCCAGUGCCAGUACCGCGUCCAGUACCCCGACGGAUCAUCCACCUCCGGCACCUACAUCUCCGACGUGCUAACAAUCACCCCCACCCCCGCCGGCAUGGUCAGCGGCUUCCGCUUCGGGUGCAGCCACGCCCUGCAGCGACCCGACCUCUUCAGCAACACCACCGCCGGGAUCAUGUCGCUCGGCCGGGGCGCGCAGUCGCUCUCGUCGCAGACCAAGGGUACCUACGGCCACGUCUUCUCCUACUGCGUCCCGCCGACGUCGAGCCACACCGGCUUCUUCGUCCUCGGCGUCCCGAGGAUCGCCGCCUCCAAGUACGUGCUCACGCCCAUGCUCAAGAGCAAGAUGGUCCCGUCCAUGUACCUCGUGCGCCUCCGCGGCAUCGACGUAGCCGGUCAGCGCGUCGCCGUGCCUCCCAUGGUAUUUGCAGCCGGCGCGGUGAUGGACUCCCGCACCGUCAUCACGCGCCUCCAGCCGACCGCGUACCGCGCGCUGCGCGACGCCUUCAGGGCCCAGAUGGGCGCGUACCGCGUCGCACCGCCCAAGGGCCAGCUUGACACCUGCUACGACUUCACCGGCGUCCGCACCCUCAGGCUGCCCAAGAUCUCGCUUGUGUUCGACAGCCGGAGCAACAGCGGCGCUGCCGUGGAGCUGGACCCGUCGGGGGUGCUGUUCAACAGCUGCCUCGCGUUCGCGUCCACCGGCGCCGGCGACGGAUCCACCGGUGUCAUCGGCCACGUCCAGCAGCGGACGAUCGAGGUGCUCUACAACGUCGGCGGCAGCGCCGUCGGGUUCCGCCGUGCCGCGUGCUGA
rnacentral:rRNA from 1 species